rnacentral:rRNA from 1 species
AUUGAACGCUGGCGGCAGGCCUAACACAUGCAAGUCGAACGAGUGGCGGACGGGUGAGUAAUGUCUGGGAAACUGCCUGAUGGAGGGGGAUAACUACUGGAAACGGUAGCUAAUACCGCAUACCAUCAGAUGUGCCCAGAUGGGAUUAGCUAGUUGGUGGGGUAACGGCUACCCCAGGCGACGAUCCCUAGCUGGUCUGAGAGGAGGACCAUACACACUGGAACUGAGCCACUGUCCAGACUCCUACGGGAGGCAACAGGGGGGAAUAUUGCACAAUGGGCGCAAGCCUGAUGCAGCCAUGCCGCGUGUAUGAAGAAGGCCUUCGGGUGUUAAAGUACUUUCAGCGGGGAGGCGUUACCCGCAGAAGAAGCACCGGCUAACUCCGUGCCAGAAGCCGCGGUAAUUC